GUGAAAUCCCAAAGCUUAACUUUGGAACUGCAAUUAAAACUGCUCGACUAGAGUUUGAUAGAGGAAAGCGGAAUACAUAGUGUAGAGGUGAAAUUNGUAGAUAUUAUGUAGAACACCAGUUGCGAAGGCGGCUUUCUGGAUCAACACUGACGCUGAGGCGCGAAAGUAUGGGUAGCAAAGAGGAUUAGAUACCCUCGUAGUCCAUACCAUAAACGAUGAUUGCUAGAUGUUGGAAAUUUAUUUUCAGUAUCGCAGCUAACGCAUUAAGCAAUCCGCCUGGGGAGUACGACCGCAAGGUUAAAACUCAAAUGAAUUGACGGGGACCCGCACAAGCGGUGGAGCAUGUGGUUUAAUUCGAAGAUACGCGCAGAACCUUACCAACCCUUGACAUGUCUGUCGCGAGUUUAGGAAACUAGACUUUUCGGUUCGGCCGGACAGAACACAGGUGCUGCAUGGCUGUCGUCAGCUCGUGUCGUGAGAUGUUGGGUUAAGUCCCGCAACGAGCGCAACCCCUACUUUUAGUUGCCAUCAGGUCAUGCUGGGCACUCUGAAAGAACUGCCAGUGAUAAGCUGGAGGAAGGUGGGGAUGACGUCAAGUCCUCAUGGCCCUUACGGGUUGGGCUACACACGUGCUACAAUGGUAGUGACAAUGAGAUGCAAAGUGGCGACGCUAAGCUAAACUCAAAAAUCUACCUCAGUUCGGAUUGCACUCUGCAACUCGAGUGCAUGAAGCUGGAAUCGCUAGUAAUCGUAGAUCAGCGUGCUACGGUGAAUACGUUCCCGGGUCUUGUACACACCGCCCGUCACACCAUGGAAGUUGGUUCUACCUUAAAGCAGAUUGCUAACCGCAAGGAGGCGUUUGACCAAGGUAUAGUCAGCAACUGGGGUGAAGUCGUAACAAGGUAACCGUA
rnacentral:rRNA from 1 species